UUUGAAAGUGGAAGAGUCUGCUGGCGGGAAGGGAGAAGAGUGGGAGGAGGAAAUAAGCAACAGGCAGCUUCCUUUCUUGACAGAUGGAAAAUAAAGGGCCUGUGCACAGCUCGGCGAACUGCUCCGUGGACCUCCCAGCGGGGCUGCUUUCUGAGGUGAUGGUCUCCUCGCUCCUUAGCCAGCCUGGUGGAGCCAGCUACUGACGUUGGAAAGGAGUUGGAGGAUGGAGCACCAGAUACUGCUACACCAUCUCAUCGGCAUGGACCUAUAUGUGGCAGCAAGUCCAUCUCAUCGCUUUUGGUGAAAGUCAGUCCAGUUUGUAAAGAUUCUCAUUGUUUUGCAGGCUUAGAGGUCUUGGCUUCCAAAGGGAGAAAGCUUCCACCAGGGGACACAGAAGGGUCCCAUUGAACUCUAAGCUAUGGUUACUGGUGGGGCACUUCAGAUUCCAUGUGCUGAGGAACCACCCUCUUAGCAGCACUAUUUGAUCCUGAUCAAGAAGAGGAGGGCUACUCUUACACAAUGGAAGCAGGAAGACCUAUUUUUACCACCCAGGCCUUGGAAAGUGUUCCAGGAAUGGACUUUCUGCAGUAUGAUGACCUGCAAAAGCAGCCCUUCCAUUUACAUUUCAAACUCCAAGUCAGCCGUGUCAAAGUUUGAACCAGAACUGUGGAGGAUAAUGGGUCAGAUGCAAUUAGCAGCCCAGAGAACCACACGUUGCAGUCUGAUUUAUUUUUUUGCCCAUCAGAUUCCAAGAAUCCUAGUGCUUAAAAGCAACUAAACAAUCGCUCUAUUGUACUGAAAUAAAGCCCGGUUAAUUCAGAAAUCAAUUGCACCACCAGGUGGGGCACACUCUGGCCCCAAACAGAUGGGGUUGAAAACUCCCCUCAAAAUGCAGUCUUGUUAAAUUAAAAACUUGAUCCAGGAGUGGAACAAAUAGGGAGCCAUGAAUGGAAUGGAGUCAGGUCCACUCAGGCGGAUUCUUUCUUCUCCCACUCCUUUUCCUUUAAAAAAGAAAAAUUCCCCAUUUCACUUUCAUCAGUGUUAGCAUCUAUGCAGAAACGCAGCCAUCCACCCUUUGCAGUUGAAUGUGUUACUUUAAUUAGUCUGAAAAUUAAAGGGCAACUCCGGGCCAAUGUGAAUGAUUAUGAAAAUACAUGUGCAUCCCAUGCAAUCUUCUCAUUUAAUUAAUAGUCUUGUAAACUAUAUGGCUCACUUUAAGUCAGUCAAGAGGUAUAACAACUCCAUUUUAAAUAUCCACUUAAUACUUAACAGGAUGUGAGGAACACACUAUAGCAUACGGUCCCUUCUCAAGUUUCACUGUCUGAAAUUUUUCAAAGCUGACCCAAGUCAACCUGAAAAAUGUUUAACACCCUGGGCUUGAACACAAGAAACUCUGUGAUGAACAGACAUUCAAUUACAUUUUUUAAAAGUGAGAAGCAUUUUUGUAAAAUAGCGACUCUGGAAACUAAUUGGCAGCCGCAAAACUUGUGAGCAAAGGCCAAAUCUUGUGGGGAACUUUUACUACAGUAACACGACUCAAAGAAAAUGUGAAUAAAAGGCAUCUUUGUUUCCCAGUCAAAUUAGCUGAUUAAGAAAUAAAACAUCUUAACAUGUUUUUAA
rnacentral:lncRNA from 1 species